UCCGCCCGCCGAUUGGACAACAUUCAAACCCUUUGCAGUUGCAAUCAGCGUCUGAAAAAACAUAAUAGUUACAACUUUCAACAACGGAUCUCUUGGUUCUGGCAUCGAUGAAGAACGCAGCGAAAUGCGAUAAGUAGUGUGAAUUGCAGAAUUCAGUGAAUCAUCGAAUCUUUGAACGCACAUUGCGCCCCUUGGUAUUCCAUGGGGCAUGCCUGUUCGAGCGUCAUUUGUACCUUCAAGCUCUGCUUGGUGUUGGGUGUUUGUCUCGCCUCCGCGUGUAGACUCGCCUUAAAACAAUUGGCAGCCGGCGUAUUGAUUUCGGAGCGCAGUACAUCUCGCGCUUUGCACUCAUAACGACGACGUCCAAAAGUACAUUUUUACACUCUUGACCUCGGAUCAGGUAGGGAUACCCGCUGAACUUAAGCAUA
rnacentral:rRNA from 1 species